GAGUUGCCGAUGGAGGAUGGUUGCCGAUGGAGGGGCUGUUGGACAUGACUAAGUCUAUAGGUGGUAAUGUGUCUGUGCCGAUGGCUACGACGAGGGAAUCUGCCGAUGAUAUGGAGGAAGAGUCUGGAAACUGCCGAUCGGCUUGUGGAGGUGUUUCUGUUUGUCACGGGGGGAUAGUUUUAUGUUUUUCUUAGUUAUUC
rnacentral:lncRNA from 1 species